rnacentral:lncRNA from 1 species
CCGUGCUCUACCUUUACUGUUUUCUUUCUUUUGAAGAAGAAGAAGAUUAGCCCUGAGCUAACUACUGCCAAUCCUUCUCUUUUUGAUGAGGAAGACUGGCCCUGAGCUAACAUCCGUGCCCAUCUUCCUCUACUUUGUAUGUGGGACACUUACCACAGCAUGGCUUGCCAAGCGGUGCCACGUCCACACCGGCAUCCGAACGGUGAACCCCAGGCCGCCAAAAAGUGGAACGUGCACACUUAACCGCUGCGCCACUGGGCCAGACCCUAACCGUUUUCAUUCUUGAAGACCUCCAGACUUUCAAGUGUCUCAGUGAUUUCCAAGAACAGGCUUUGGAGAGAUGACAGGAUGAGGGCGUGGAGCUGGGAAGGGAGAAGAUGCUCUGCUAAGGGGACGGUGGGCAGCACUGAGAAAACGAAGGUGACAGAAAUAAACUAACUUUUGUGCAAUUUCGUUUGAGGAAAGGCUCCUGCUUCAGCCAAAGAAAAAUCCAAUGCACAUUUGGUCUUCCCUUCAGGAGACAUCACCUGUGAACACCACCCGCUUUAGGCAAUGAGACUGAAGUCUCCUUCCUCAGCCCACAUAGUCACGACCCAUGGAAACGGACACCACGGAUGGCGGUGGGCUGCGCGAUGGUUUCUCGCCUACUUGCUUCAACCAUCUGGCAUCUGAACACGGCUUUGUCUCAAGAACUCCACCCUCCAGAAGCACGGAAUGGCGAGGAGACAGAUACGGGAAGGCCAGGCACAGGAGGCAGUUGAUGGAGAUGCCUUCCAAAUAUUGGACUCCUAGCAAGAAUCUCUGCCUGAAAAUAGAAUGAAAUGGCCAGUAUUUGCCAAACCCGCCAGUUAUCAGGCGCUUCCCAAACAGUACAUUCGGAGGACGUGUCAAUUAUGCAAGGACUAGAACACAACAAAACACAGGAAUCAAACAGGUACGUGGUUCUACAAAUUAAAAAUGAGGGGAAUUGAGUUUGAAGGGCAGGCCUGCUUGUCCACACCGCUG